CAGGAACUUCAUCUGAGUCUGUAACAGCCAAUCGGAACGCAGGAUGAGAUUUGUCAUCCAAUCAAAUGCAGUAUGAGCAUCAGAUGCCAGAAGAAGAAAUGUCCGAUCCUCUGAUUGGUCAGAGCUUUCUUGAUCAGGAAACGAGCCAGCGGAUUGUCCAGAUACAUCUCAUAUUUCAGGACCUGAAAACACAUGAAGUCUUUCUCCUGCUCUGAGAGCUCAUAGAGCGGGUCUCGGCUGCAGAGAGUGCGCAGCUGUUCCGCAUCCGCCUGAGAGAUGCUGCUGUCACACGCCAGACGGCUGCUCUGAUUGGCCACAGAGAGAUGCAGAACCUUGUUUGGGUUUGACCCCGACACUCCGAUGGGGUUGAGCAGAUCCUCCAGCCCGUGAGGAACCGGCCACAAACCCAAAGCCACUUUACCGCUGACCAGCGUGUCCUUAUAGUCGAAGAGGUUGAUGUUUCCCCAGGCCAGCGGACAGUGUUCCUGCACACACACACAGAGCAGCCGCACUCUCAUGUGUGUGUUGAAGGCCCAGAGGGAGCGCGGGGAUCCGGGGUCUCCUCCGCCAGGACAG